GAUUAGAGUUUGAUCCUGGCUCAGGACGAACGCUGGCGGCGUGCCUAAUACAUGCAAGUCGAGCGGACAGAAGGGAGCUUGCUCCCGGAUGUUAGCGGCGGACGGGUGAGUAACACGUGGGUAACCUGCCUGUAAGACUGGGAUAACUCCGGGAAACCGGAGCUAAUACCGGAUAGUUCCUUGGACCGCAUGGUUCAAGGAUGAAAGACGGUUUCGGCUGUCACUUACAGAUGGACCCGCGGCGCAUUAGCUAGUUGGUGGGGUAAUGGCUCACCAAGGCGACGAUGCGUAGCCGACCUGAGAGGGUGAUCGGCCACGCUGGGACUGAGACACGGCCCAGACUCCUACGGGAGGCAGCAGUAGGGAAUCUUCCGCAAUGGACGAAAGUCUGACGGAGCAACGCCGCGUGAGUGAUGAAGGUUUUCGGAUCGUAAAGCUCUGUUGUUAGGGAAGAACAAGUGCGAGAGUAACUGCUUGCACCUUGACGGUACCUAACCAGAAAGCCACGGCUAACUACGUGCCAGCAGCCGCGGUAAUACGUAGGUGGCAAGCGUUGUCCGGAAUUAUUGGGCGUAAA
rnacentral:rRNA from 1 species